rnacentral:piRNA from 1 species
UUUGAAGAUUUAUUCAAUGUGGCCACACU